UCUCACCACUUCGGUAGUCGCCUUUCGGUUGGAAUGGGAGGUUUGUGGAGGACUUCGGGUUGCGUGCGGACGCGAGAAACGCGCCUGUGUUGCAGGUAUAAAUGGUCACAUUGAAUCAGAAUGGUCAUAUUGCAACGGAAACCGGCGCAGUUGGCGCGCACAUCCUCACCAUUUUACUGCGUAUCCAAUCCGCAGUGAUUGCACAGGCCAGUGUGUCCAUUGGUGUCCAGUGUGUCUAAUGGUGUCAGGAAUUCUGCUUGGAAUCUGCUCCAAAUGGCGGAGAGGAGACCUAGCAAAUGUGGCUGGACGAUUCUUUAUUAAAAUUCUUACUAUGGCGCAA